GCCUGUUUUUUACAGUGUUUCAGUUGCUGAGGACAAGCAGGUGUUGGCAGAGCAGAGGCCUGGGGAAGGUGUGGAAGCUCUUUCUUCCCCAGCCCACUCUGUGCAUCACUUCCAUCUGUUCCCGAGCUUACAACACACUGAUGAUGUUCUCUACUCCCUGAGAGUUUCCAUGAGGAUAGUCCCGUGUGGCACUCAGAUCCAGAGCUCCCAGCUUCCCAGACAGCUCCAGCAGCUCAAGCCACGGGUGCUGCCACCUCCCUCCCAUUCUCUGAUGUCAGCUGUCUCCGUGAGAGCCACCACCAUCUGCCUGGCUUUGAGAGAAACCUGAAGAUCUCUCCUCUCUCUCACCCCCACAUCUGAUCCAUUCAGGCUUACUUCCUCUCUUCAUUUCUUCUUAAUUUGAGAAAAAAAAAAAAAAGAAUUAAAUACAGAAAAUACAAAGAAUGAGUACAUACUCCCAAUCCCCUUCCACAGAAUUAACAGCUAUAAAACAUUCGGUUAUAUUUGCUUCCAAUUUUUCUUUUUUUUUUUCUUUUUCCCCAAAAAGCCAUCACCCGCAGUCUCCUGUCUCCCUAUUCUAUCAGAGAGAAAGUAUUAUGAGUUCAAGGUAUGAAAUUCCAGUCCAUUUUCUUAUACUUCUACAAAUAAGAAUACAUGUAUCUGUAAACAAAGAUGUAGUUUUGGUUUA